GACGAACGCUGGCGGCGUGCUUAACACAUGCAAGUCGAGCGGUAAGGCCCUUUCGGGGGUACGACGAGCGGCGAACGGGUGAGUAACACGUGGGUGACCUGCCCUCAGCUCUGGGAUAAGCCUGGGAAACCGGGUCUAAUACUGGAUAUGACUCCAUGACGCAUGUUGUGGGGUGGAAAGCCUUGUGCGGCUGAGGAUGGGCCCGCGGCCUAUCAGCUUGUUGGUGGGGUGAGGCCUACCAAGGCGACGACGGGUAGCCGGCCUGAGAGGGCGACCGGCCACACUGGGACUGAGACACGGCCCAGACUCCUACGGGAGGCAGCAGUGGGGAAUCUUGCGCAAUGGGCGAAAGCCUGACGCAGCGACGCCGCGUGAGGGAUGACGGCCUC
rnacentral:rRNA from 1 species